rfam:Cavia porcellus supercont2_8 genomic scaffold, whole genome shotgun sequence.
UGGUGCCCAACAUGGGGCCUCCUGGCAUGGGGGAGUUAAUGAGGGAGCCGUUCAAAAACGCCAGCUAAAAGUGAAAACAAAUUAAAUCAAGGACCGAGGCUAAAAGUAAAAUUAAAGUAAAUCAAGGCCGAGGCCUGUGCAAGUGAGGGCCUGACGUGCCGCCCAAGUCACGGUGAGUGAACAGUAACCCUAUCCCCUCUUUCCCCGACAUGGGUCAAGCAUUGAGCAAACAUAAAUUGUUCGUGGGAAACCUUAACAAGGCAUUAAAGACAAGAGGGGUAAGGGUUAAAACAAAAAAAUUGUUACAGUAUUUUCAGUUUAUCCAUAUAGUGUG